GGUCAAGCGAACAAGUGCAUGUGGUGGAUGCCUUGGCGAUCACAGGCGAUGAAGGACGCGGUAGCCUGCGAAAAGCGACGGGGAGCUGGCAAACGAGCUUCGAUCCGUCGAUGUCCGAAUGGGGAAACCCGGCCCUUCUGGGUCAUCCUGAGCUGAAUACAUAGGCUCAGUGAAGCGAACGCGGCGAACUGAAACAUCUAAGUAACCGCAGGAAAAGAAAUCAACCGAGAUUCCCAAAGUAGUGGCGAGCGAAAUGGGAUCGGCCCGUACUCUUUAUCACGACCGUUAGCCGAACACUCUGGAAAGUGUGGCCAUAGCAGGUGAUAGCCCUGUAGGCGAAAGCGGAUGUGUGGAACUAGGUGUACGACAAGUAGGGCGGGACACGUGAAAUCCUGUCUGAAGAUGGGGGGACCAUCCUCCAAGGCUAAAUACUCGUGAUCGACCGAUAGUGAACCAGUACCGUGAGGGAAAGGCGAAAAGAACCCCGGGAGGGGAGUGAAAUAGAUCCUGAAACCGCAUGCAUACAAACAGUCGGAGCCUCGCAAGGGGUGACGGCGUACCUUUUGUAUAAUGGGUCAGCGACUUACGUUCAGUAGCAAGCUUAACUGAUUAAGGCAGGCGUAGCGAAAGCGAGUCCGAAUAGGGCGUUCAGUUGCUGGGCGUAGACCCGAAACCAAGUGAUCUAUCCAUGGCCAGGUUGAAGGUGCGGUAACACGUACUGGAGGACCGAACCCAC
rnacentral:rRNA from 1 species